GUGUCUGUGCUGUCACCGGGGGCAGGUGGCAGGAAGGAGGGGACCUUCUCUAUGGAUUUCCAGUGGUUCCUUGUGGCCAUGGUGCUCCCUGUGGGCUGGGCCCUUCAGCAAUCCCCAGAUACAAUUAUCCGGGUGGGAGACACCGUGACUCUGGAAUGUUCUGCAUCAGGGAAAGAUUUCGUAAACAUCUACUGGUACAAGUUACCCAUGGAGAAGGAUGCCAGUAUGCAAUUGGUUGUAUAUUCAGUGGAAGGUGGCAAAGCAGAUAUUCAGAAGGAAUUCCAAAAUCGUUUCCAGAGUAAUGGGACUCGGAACAACCAUUUAUCUGUGAAGAUACAGCAUGCCCAACUCAAUGACACUGGAACAUAUUUCUGUGCUGAAAGUAAUCCACAGUGACUCAAAGACAGGUGCAGCAUAGCACAAAGGUUUUCAGGCAAACAGGGAUCUGCCACCAGCACACCCUAAGCCCUGUGUUUGACAGAACCCCAUUUUCUUACAUGCCCUUUUUCUCUUGAGGA